rnacentral:rRNA from 1 species
AGAGUUUGAUCCUGGCUCAGGACGAACGCUGGCGGUGCGCCUAAUGCAUGCAAGUCGAACGAGCGACCCGGGCUUGCCCGGUUAGCUAGUGGCAGACGGCUGAGUAACACGUAAGUAAUUUGCCCCGAAGAGGGGGAUAAUCCAGAGAAAUCUGGCCUAAUACCCCGUACCUCCCUUUCCAGCCUGCUGGAUUGGAAGAAAGGUUUCGGCCGCUUUGGGAGAAGCUUGCGGCUUAUCAGGUAGUUGGUGGGGUAAUGGCCUACCAAGCCGAAGACGAGUAACCGGUGUGAGAGCACGAUCGGUCAGAGGGGGACUGAGACACGGCCCCCACUCCUACGGGAGGCAGCAGCAGGGAAUCUUGCGCAAUGGGCGAAAGCCUGACGCAGCGACACCGCGUGGAGGAUGAAGGUUUUAGGAUUGUAAACUCCUUUUAUCAGGGAAGAGAAAGGACGGUACCUGAUGAAUAAGGUUCGGCUAACUACGUGCCAGCCGCCGCGGU